GCUCCUGCUUCGUUUCUGCUGAGCUAGACCCAGCGAGCCUAGAGAGUUGGGCUGAAUAACUGGUAUUUUCAUUUAACUGGAUUUGAAGAAAGAACAAAUAUAUACGGGGGCAACCACGAUCUUUAUAAAGAACAUAAGUUCCAGGAAAACAGGAACCUUGUCUCUUGUUCACCUGUAUAUCAUCCGCAUAUAGAACAGUGCGUGGCACAUAAUAGGUGCUGAAAUUAAAUUCUACAAAUGCAAGAAUCUUUGUAUUGCCCAGUGAUGUAAGCCGAGCAUCUGAGACAGUGCCUGGCACCAAUAGGUGCCCAUAAUGAUUUCCAAAUGAGUGAAUGAAUGAUGAGUUCUAACUGGAGAAAGUCACAUUUUUAUGUAAAAAGUUAUUGUCUUAAUCUCUUUUAUAUUUUAAGGAAAAAAAUAAUUAACAUUCUGCUAGUCUGAAAUUCAGAUUUGCAGUGAAGAUAUGCCAAGACACAGAAAGAUGAUUUCUUUUCAGGAAAGAAUCUCUAAAUGAAAAUCAUGUGAUUAUUAGGCUCUAUACAUACCAUCAAAAUUCUAAUUCAGUCAGCCCCACCCUGAAUCCAGUCACAACUCUAAUUUAAUCCACUUCUAAUUGAAUCACUUUCUCCAAUUCUAGUAAACCCUUUCAUUACAAAGUUACCAGCCCACAAAAUGUGAAAAUUUUGCUUGAGGCUUUUAGUAAGAAAACAGAGGAAAAAAACUUAAUGCUCACAAGUUAGAAAUUACACUUAAAAUAGUAUAAAUGAUAGCAUCUGUUCUAUUUUUAACCUAAAAAUGAUUAAUUUUCUAAUUAUGUAUAUAUAUAAAGCUGGUGCUUUAAUCUAUUUUGAUAAGUGAAAAGGAUAGAAAAAUAAAGUAGCUUGCCUUCUACCAACAAAUCCUGAUUUUAAUUGAAGAUACUUUGGGACCCAGAGAGAUGAUUUCCUGGGAACAGCCUCAAAAUGAAAUUUGCUGAUGGUCCAGGCUAGAUUACUAGAUAAUGUUAUAAUUUAACCACCUCUUACCCAAUCCAAGCACAUAGCUACCUAUCACUUGCUGGCCACUCCAUUAUUACUAAGAUAAUUAAAAGCAAGCAUAUUAAAAAAACAGUUAAAAUGAAAGAACUAAAAUAUAGAAAAUAAAGGGAUAGAAAAAGACGUACCAGGCAAAUACUAAAAAACAACAAAAAACUUUGUGUAGCAAAUUAAUUAUCAAAAGUAUUCUUUGAGUAGCAUUAACAACGACAUUUGUGGGGCAUCUUACUGCAUUCCAAAGAAAAAUCUAGGAAAACGUUAAAUCAUGAACAUAUAUGUAACUAAUUGCAUGGUCUGGAAAUUUUGAAGCAAUAAUAAAGAAUUAAAAGGUAAAACUGACAAAUCUGUAAUGGUGGGAAUUUUUUUUAAUGGCAGUCUCUCCCAGAUGAAACAAAAUUAGCAACAUUGAUGCAUUGUGUGCAUAGAUAAUGUAUGCUUACUGUAUUUAUAUUUGCAUAUAUAUUUAUAUGUCACGUUUAUAUGUAUAUAAAAUUCUUCAACCAAAACAAAAUAUACAUUAUUUUUAAAAAAUGUUGGACAUUCAUAAAAUUAACUGUAAAGCCCCCAAAUAAGUUUCAAUAAAUGCCUAUGUACUCAUUUCUAAAUGAUAUAUAGUCUUUCUAAUUUUUGAACUUCAUAUAAAUGUUCAAAAUGUUUAUGUAAAUGAAUCAUGUAAAGUGUUCAAAAUAUUUAUGUAAAUGAAUUGUAUGCUUUUCUUUUAUGUUUUGCUUUUAUAUAGCUGUUGUACACUAUAUAGAAUUUAAUUGGGUAAAAAUACACAGUAUACUGGGCUGUUUAUACUCUGCACCCUGAUUCCCAACAUCAAGCUACCCCCAUGAGGACAUCUGGGCCCAACAGCUUGGGAGGAAGAAUGAUUAUUUAUUAAUUUAAAAAAUUAUUUCCAGUUUAUUCCAUAGUUGUUACUUUUUUCAGUGAUGUCAAUUAAAAUGUUUUAAAUUUUAGCUUCCUUUGAAUAUCAUGUAUUUUCCUAAAAUAUUAUGUUACUGUACCUUUUUUCUUAUUCCUACUUUUUCACUUAUUCCUACCAAAUACACUUUUUUUCCUCUUGACUAGCUUUGCUUUUGCAGGGGUCUAUCUUUUUGGAUCUAUUUACCAUUAAGCUUUUACAAAUACUAACCAAUUCCUUAAUUUCUAAUCUUAAUGUCACUUAUUUGUUCCACCAGCUUUUCUUAGAUUUAUAUUAUUUGUUGUUCUUUCUAAUUCUACAAUAAAGUGCUCAAUUAAAAAACUACACAGUAUAAUUUAUUCUAAUAAUUAUGUUCCCAGUAUGGUGAUAUUACAAAUAAUGCUACUGUGUACAUUUUUGUAAAUGUGUAGAGGUGCACGGGUUUCAUUUAUAUAUCCCACCAGCAGGUUGAGUUCUCCUUGUUCUGUAAUCUCACCACACUUGAUAUCGUCCAACUUUUAAUUCUAGGUAAUCUGGUGGGUUUAUAGUGAUAUCUUAUGGAGGUCUUAAUUUGCUUUUCCUUCAUUGCUAAUCACUUUUUGUUUGUUGUUCACUUGAAUUUCUUCUUUUGUGGGAUAUCUGUUUAAAUCUUUCUACUGAAUUAUCUUCUUUUUAGAUUGAUUUCUAUGAGUUCGUAAUACUUUGGGCCCCAGUUCUCUGUCAGUUAUUUGUGCUACAUAUAUAUUUUCCACUUAUUGGCUUUUCUUUUUGGUAUAUUUUGAUCUGCAAAAGCAUUAAUAUUGGGGUAAUUCAGUUUAUCAGUCUUUUCCUUUUUGCUUACUGCAUGGUAUUUCUUAAGAAAUUCUUCCCUACUUUGAGGUUACAUUGGUAUUGUCAGAUACUAUUUUCUGAAGGGUUUAUAGUCAUGCCUUUCACAGGCCCAUUAGAAAUUUGUUUUAUGCGUGGUGUGAUAGAGGCUCUUGGAAUAAUCCUGUGAAGCAAGCCUGGCCUUGUCCCUCUCUUCUGAGUGCUGGGCUCUUCUUGGCCCUUUGCACUUAAAUAUAAAAUCUUAAAUGUCACAUUUUACAAAAUUACUUUUGGGAUUUUGAUUGGGAUCACUGAAUCUCGGUUUAAGAAGAAAUGGACAGUUCUAAAUAUUGAGUCUUCAAAUCUAUUAACAGGUUAUGUGUUCCCAUUUAUUAGGUCUUUAAUUGCUUCUAAGUAAAUUUAUAUUAUUGCUUCCAUAGAAAUCUUGUAAAUUUUUGUUAGCUUUAGCCUUAGGUGCUGCUCAAUUUUUAAUGCUUUAAUAAGUGACCUCUUUCUUAAUUUGAUUGUUCAAUUGUUUGUUGCUGGUAUAUGUAAAUAUGAUUGUUUUUUAUAUAUUGUAUUUUAAUGCAGAGACCAUGCUAAACCCUCUUAUUAAUUAAAAUAGUUAACUCAUAACUCUGGGAUUUUUUAUGUAGAUUGUCAUAUCUAUGAAUAAGGAUAGCUUUCUCUCUCCUUCCCAGUCUUUUUCCCACUCCUUUUUUCCCCUGCUGCCUUAUGUCAGGUCGGACAUCCAGUGAGAUCAUAGGCUGAUCUUAACGGGAAAGCUUUCAAAUUUCAUUGUUAAGUAUGAUUUUUACUGAAGGUUUUGGGUCAGUGCAUUUUAUUCAAUUAAAAUUUCCCCCCACAAUUUUUAGUUUGCGAAAUGGAUAACAAAUUUAUCAAACAUUUCUCGGCAUCUAAUGAGAUUCUCUUUUAGUCUGUUUGUGUGUAUUAUUACAUUAAUUUAUUUAACUGUCAACUAACCUUUCAUUACUGAAAUAAACCCAUCUUGAUCAUGAUGAAUAUAUUGCAGGAAUCUGUUUACUCAGAUUCUAUUUAGGACUUUUGCUCCUAUGUUCCUAAGUGAGAUUGGCCCAUUAUUUUCCUUUCUCAUAUGUCUUUAUUUGAGACUUCUUUAAUAAAGUUUAUAUUAUAGAACAUGUUGGAAAAUACUUUCUCUUCUAUGGGAAAAUUUGUCUAAGCUUGGAAGUACUUCUUCCUUGAAAAUUUGCUGGGUCUAGGUUUUCUUUGUUUAGAGGGUUUUGACUAGCACUUCAGUUUCCUUGAUGGUUAUAGAUAUACUCAGUGUUCUAUUUUCUCUUUUGUCAAUUUUGCUGUUAUGUUUUUCUAAGAAUUUACUUAUUUCCCCUGAAUUUUAAAACAUAUUGGCUUAAACUUGUCACACUUUACUUACCAAAUUUUUGUUUACAUGCACAGCAUCUGUAGUGAUGACUGCUUUAUCUUUUCUGGUAUUAGUGUGACUUUGAUCUCUGGUCUUUCCCAUUUUCACCAGUCUUCUACUGGUGAAAUUUUCUUUCUUUUACUUUCUUUGCUGUAUUCUUUUUCUAACUUCUAGAGAAGUUAGAUGCUUAGUUCAUUUAAUUUUCCAGUCUCCUAUCUUUUCCUAGGUAUUUAUUUAACUACAAAUCUCCCUUUUACUAUUGCUUACCAACAUCUCACAGGUUUCAGAAUAUAGAAUAUUUGCUCUCAUUUAAAGUAUUUCCUAAUUUCCAUUUUUACUUCUUUCGAAAGUUAAAGUUUUAUUUAGAAUGCAUUUUUAAUUUUAUAAAAUUGGGGAUUUUUCUAGUUAUCUUUUUUAAAGUAAUUUAUAACUUUAUUUUAUGGUCAGGGAACCUGCUUUCUAUCCUCUUACAUUUGCUAAAACUUGUUUUAUGGCCACAGUUCUAUAGCCAAUUUUGUGAAAUUUAUGAAGAGCUUGAAAAAAAUUCGAUUCUGCAGUUUGGGAGUACAGAAGUUCAAUAUAUGCCAAUUAAGUCAAUUUUUAGAUUGCAUUGCUCAAAUAUUCUAUGUUGUUUUUCAACUACUUGAUUAGUUAAUAGAGUCCUGAUUUAUGUCUGAUUUCCCUUGGUCCCUGUUAGUCUCAAAAGUGUGUCUUAAGGUGAUAAAUGAUAGGAUGUAACUCAUUGUUAAAGUUUAGAGCCACCCUUGUUAAAGUCCAAAAUGAGGGUAUAAUUUCUACUAAGUCAACAUUCAACAUUUUACUGGAGAUUAUAUCUAAUUAUGUAAGACUGCCAUUCCUGCCCAGCUACAAAAAGAAAGAAAGAAAAAGAAUAAAAGCUAUGAC